rnacentral:rRNA from 1 species
AGCCGGGCGGCAGCUUACCAUGCAGUCGAGCGGAACGAUACCAGCUUGCUGGUAGGCGUCGAGCGGCGGACGGGUGAGUAAUACUUAGGAAUCUACCUAGUAGUGGGGGAUAGCUCGGGGAAACUCGAAUUAAUACCGCAUACGACCUACGGGAGAAAGGGGGCAGUUUACUGCUCUCGCUAUUAGAUGAGCCUAAGUCGGAUUAGCUAGAUGGUGGGGUAAAGGCCUACCAUGGCGACGAUCUGUAGCUGGUCUGAGAGGAUGAUCAGCCACACCGGGACUGAGACACGGCCCGGACUCCUACGGGAGGCAGCAGUGGGGAAUAUUGGACAAUGGGGGAAACCCUGAUCCAGCCAUGCCGCGUGUGUGAAGAAGGCCUUUUGGUUGUAAAGCACUUUAAGCAGUGAAGAAGACUCCUCGGUUAAUACCCGUGGACGAUGACAUUAGCUGCAGAAUAAGCACCGGCUAACUCUGUGCCAGCAGCCGCGGUAAUACAGAGGGUGCAAGCGUUAAUCGGAAUUACUGGGCGUAAAGCGAGCGUAGGUGGCUUGAUAAGUCAGAUGUGAAAUCCCCGGGCUUAACCUGGGAACUGUAUCUGAAACUGUUAGGCUAGAGUAGGUGAGAGGAAGGUAGAAUUCCAGGUGUAGCGGUGAAAUGCGUAGAGGUCUGGAGGAAUACCGAUGGCGAAGGCAGCCUUCUGGCAUCAUACUGACACUGAGGCUCGAAAGCGUGGGUAGCAAACAGGAUUAGAUACCCUGCUAGUCCACGCCGUAAACGAUGUUUACUAGUCGUUGGGUCCCUUGAGGACUUAGUGACGCAGCUAACGCAAUAAGUAGACCGCCUGGGGGGUACGGCCGCAAGGUUAAAACUCAAUGAAUUGACGGGGGCCCGCACAAGCGGUGAGCAUGUGGUUUAUUCGAUGCAACGCGAAGAACCUUACCUGGUCUUGACAUAUCUAGAAUCCUGCAGAG